AUACUGCAGAAGAGUCGCAAACUAGGACGAAACAGCCGUCCAGUAC
rnacentral:hammerhead_ribozyme from 1 species